AUCUGAGGUACAAGUUCAAAUCCUUUGGGUGGUGUUAAAUUUUUUUCAUUGAUGAGGUUGGUUAGCAAUCCCACAUCGGAUUCUGACAGGAAUAAGGAUGCAAAGAUGCCUAUAAAAGCUAUCCUCAUUGCGGGCCAAGGCGUCACCUCAUGUGGUGGGGUGUGGGCUGUGUCAUAAUAAGACAUGGCCCAAGCUUUUGCCAGAAUUUUUCAUAAUAUGGGAGCUUUCCAUGCCUGCAAAAUGGCCGGUGCUCCCAUGCUAAAAACUUAUUUUGUCCUCUGCCCGAAAACCCAUUUUCUCGCACGUUGAUCGGGAAGGAAGUGAAGUGCAGAUCUGAGGCGCCAUUCACCCCGGUUGUUUUCUGUAAGUUUUGUGGUUAUAUUUGGUGGUCUGGUUGUGUUUGGUUGGGAAAGUUAAAAAAAAUUAAGUUUCGUUUUUUUUUUUUCAAUGAAACCGAGUAGACUAAGAGAGUUUUGAUUUUUUUUGUGGUUCGGCUUGUUAUGAUUCUGUUUGGUUGCCAAGAAAGUUUCGGAAAGUUGAAAAUUUUGUUUUCGUUUUUUUAUCGGCCGGGCUCCGACACAAUAUUCGUUACCGAUUAUCGGUCGAAGGAAUUUUCGGUAAUUUUUGGGAAAUUUCCAGAUGUUUCCUACCAGUCCAGCCCCCGCGCACAGGAUACAAAAUCUGUCCAUUUUUUUUUAUGAAAAAAAUAAGAUGCUAUUUGGUAAUCUGAUCAUGAUUUGCAGGGAAAGGUUGUGUGUUUCAGUCUGGCUCAAAAAUCGUGGAUUUAGGGUUCGUGAAAUUUAAAUCCAAUGGCACAAAAGCAAAGAGACCCCUAGAACAGAUCCAGAAAAUACAGGGAGCAAAAAAAAAAACGGAAACUUUUUUGGUGUUCCUUGGGGGGCAUGGAUUUUCUCGGAAAUCAAACGAGGAUGAAUUUUCCCGGAAAUCGAAUGGGGGAUGGAUUUUCUUGGGAAUCAAACGGGGGUUGCAAAAAAAAAUGAAAAAUAAUAACAUGAUUAGAUUAGUACCUGCGAGGAUUGAGAGUGGCAGAGGAAAAUAGGGCCUUUUCAGGGAUUCUCUCUUCAGGAAACUAACCCAAUCGAAUAUGGGUUAGAUUUGGCUUGGGACAUAAUGGGAUGGACAUGGGCUAAGAAAUAAGUAAUCCGGUCAAUGGUGGGAGCAGCCACUGACCAGGGAUACUGUUUCUUGUUCCAUGGAAACAUCCCACACUGAGGAUUAGUACCUGCGAGGAUUGGGAGUGGCAGAGGAAAAUAGGGCCUUUUCAGGGAUUCUCUCUUCAGGAAACUAGCCCAAUCGAAUAUGGGUUAGAUUUGGCUUGGGACAUAAUGGGAUGGACAAUGGCUAAGAAAUAAGUAAUCUGGUCAAUGGUGGGAGCAGCCACUGACCAGGGAUACUGUUUCUUGUUCCAAGGAAACAUCCCACACUGUUGCAGGAGGAAUCCAACUGUUAUUGACUUUCUCCAUGGAGCCCCUUACACCCAACAGAUUGCUUGUUGCUGCAAGGGUGGUGUUCUGGCAUCACAGGGACAUGAUUCCAGAGUUGCAGUUUCAGCUUAGCGGUGGGCUUUCGGGCACUUCAAAUGAAACAGUGAGACUGCCCAAGAAUUUCACUUUGCUGGGUCCAGGGACAGGCUUCACAUGCAGCCAAGCAACCAUUGAAGCUCCUUCACUUUCCCUCUCCUCUGAUGGCCGGCGAAAAACUUACUAAGUUAAGUAUUUUUCCUUCCUAAGCUUAAAUGCUAAAUUCUAGUACCAUUUCAACUCAUAUCUUCUUGCUUUCAAUUUUUGUUUGCAAUGACGGAGUGUGAAGUGCACCUACUCACAGCUGGUGGCCUUAUGGAUUCUCUCGUCUGGAGGGCAACUUCAGAAAAGGGCUUCUUGAUGCCCGAGGAAAAUAGGGCCUUUUUCAUGAGGGUAAAAUGGGAUUCUUCACUGGUUUGCAACCUGGAACCAAAUCCAACGAGAUUUUGGAGAUUAUGGAUGGUGUAAAUGAUUGGGUUUGGGAAAAUAAUGAAACUAACCCAACUGAAUAUGGAUUAGAUUUGGCUUGGGACAUAAUGGGAUGGACAUGGACUAAGAAAGAAGUAAUCUGGUCAAUGGUGGUAGCAGCCACUGACCAGGGAUACUGUUUCUUGUUCCAAGGAAACAUCCCACACUGUUGCAGGAGGAAUCCAACUGUUAUUGACUUGCUCCAUGGAGCUCCUUACACCCAACAGAUUGCUGGUUGCUGCAAGGGUGGUGUUCUGGCAUUACAGGGACAUGAUCCCAGAGCUGCAGUCUGACUUAGCGUUGGGCUUUCGGGCACUUCAAACAAAACAAUGAGACUGCCCAAGAAUUUCACUUUGCUGGGUCCAGGGACAGGCUACACAUGCAGCCAAGCAACCAUUGAAGCUCCUUCACUUUACCUCUCCUCUGAUGGCCGGCGAAAAACCUACUGAUGUGAAGUGCACAUACUCACAGCUGGCGGCCUCUGCAAAACCAAGAUGCUGCGUCUCCUUCUCGUCUUUUUGCAGCGAUAUCAUCACUCCUUGUCCAUCUUGUGCUUGUGCUUGCCAGAAUGAGAACAACUGUGUCAUAAGUGGUUCAAAGAUUACGAGUAAGGUGGAAAUGAACACAACUAUAGAGGACGCCGAGCUGAAGCUGAAAUGCACACAGCAUAUGUGUCCAAUCCGGGUGCACUGGCAUGUGAAGGCCAACUACGUACAAGGAGUAUUGGCGUGUGAAGAUUGCCAUUACCAAUUUCAUCUACAAAAUGAAGAUUGCCCUUCUGCAGCAUCCAAAUCUCAACAAUGUUGCCCAAGUUUACAGCUUUGUGUACAAGCCGCUAGUCCCAUACAAAUCCAUUAAUGACACUGGUAUAUUUUAUGGCAUAAAGUACUAUAAUGACAUUUUAAGGGAAGCUGGACCCCAGAGGGGAACGUGCAGUCAGAGUUGAUUUUUCGAAAGGACAUGGGCAUAUUUACAUUGAAGCAGGGGGGUGGGGUGUUUCCGCAUAAAGUCUAUUUCAAAUGGGGAUAAAGUCUAUUUCAAAUGGGGAUGAGUGCAUGAUGCCAGCUCCAGAUUCAAAUCCACUCCUGCCAAACUCUGCUCGUGUCAAUCCAAUUUCUUAUUCCACUCUGCCUGUGUCCGUGGUACUGAUACUGCUACUCAUCAGCUGAUCAUACCACUUGAUACGUUAACAAGCAAGAGGGGUUUUACUACCGCCUCGGAACAUUAGGUGAAAUUGUGCAUAAGCCUGUAAAUAGAGGGGAACCAAAUCUGUACUAGGUAGGAAUGGUGAAUCUGCAAAGAGAAGCAACUUGGAACACUCGUUUACAAGGCUUCCCAUAUGAAUGCAUCGAGUAAGAGAAUAUCCGUAGGGCCUGUUUGCUUCACCGAACCGAACUAGGCAUCAAGAAUUGGUCUCGUGUUCACAUUCCGUUAUCAAACACUGAUUAGAAGAGGGAUGAAAAGGGAAUGGAGGUUUUUCAUUUUCA